GACGAACGCUGGCGGCGCGCUUAACACAUGCAAGUCGAACGGAAAGGCCUGCUUUCCCUUGUGGAUUGCGGGUACUCGAGUGGCGAACGGGUGAGUAACACGUGAGUGAUCUGCCCCCAACUUGGGUAUAAGCCUGGGAAACUGGGUCUAAUUCCCGAUAGGACUGCAGGGUGGUGCCUGUGGUGGAAAACGAUUUUCUAGUGGUUGGGGAUGAGCUCGCGGCCUAUCAGCUUGUUGGUGGGGUAAUGGCCUACCAAGGCGGCGACGGGUAGCCGGCCUGGGAGGGUGGACGGCCACAUUGGGACUGAGAUACGGCCCAGACUCCUACGGGAGGCAGCAGUGGGGAAGAAUGCACAAUGGGCGGAAGCCUGAUGCAGCGACGCCGCGUGGGGGAUGACGGCCUUCGGGUUGUAAACUCCUUUCGACCGCGAGGAAGCCACCUGGUUGGAAGGGUGGUGACGGUAGUGGUAGAAGAAGCACCGGCUAACUACGUG
rnacentral:rRNA from 1 species